UACGAAGGUGGCAAGCGUUGUUCGGAAUCACUGGGCUUAAAGAGCACGUAGGCGGAAGCGAAAGUGUCUUGUGAAAUCCCCCGGCUUAACCGGGGAAUUGCUUGGCAAACUGCGUUUCUUGAGGCAAGUAGGGGUGUGUGGAACUCUUAGUGGAGCGGUGGAAUGCGUAGAUAUUAAGAGGAACGCCAAUGGUGAAGACAGCACACUGGACUUGUCCUGACGCUGAGGUGCGAAAGCGUGGGGAGCGAAAGGGAUUAGAUACCCCUGUA
rnacentral:rRNA from 1 species